GGGCCCAUAGUAUAAUGGUAAUACGCGACUAUGGCAUAGUUGAGUCUGGGGUUCGAUUCCCCAUGGGUCCA
rnacentral:tRNA from 1 species